AGGGGUGAAAAGAACAAAGUUUUGUCCAUCUUUGUUCAUCAUAGCCGAAAUUUAGAGAAGAGAAAGGAGAGGAGAAAGCUCUUGAAUGUUUGGUCACUUGGGGAAGAAAAUUGAAGGUGGUUCGUGUGUGGAUCUCGUAGCAUAUCGUCGUAAACAGGAAAUCCCCAACCAUAGUGGGCUUGGUGCUGUGAGGGAAUUUGGAGUGGCCAC